UGAUUCCCCUGAAGGGCCGUCGAAGACUACGACGUUGAUAGGCUGGGUGUGUAAGCGUUGUGAGGCGUUGAGCUAACCAGUACUAAUUGCCCGUGAGGCUUGACCAUAUAACACCCAAACA
rnacentral:rRNA from 1 species